rnacentral:rRNA from 1 species
AUGAUUAUCGUGAGGCCCAAAAGCCUUGCGCAGGCAUAUCCCCACGGCCCGAACGGCCACCUUAUCCGUUUCAUUCAACUCCCGCGCGCGCCGCGCGCCGGCGCCUGCCGUCGACGACAACGCGGGGCGGCCAUGCCUGCCUCCAUCUCCAUGCCCAAGGUUCUCUCGCCUUCAUCCUCCUCCUCCACUUCGCGCCGCAAACCGGCACCAGCAGCCUUCGCUCGGAACCCGGGCUGCCGAGUCUCGCCGCCGCGGAGUUUGAGGUCAAAUAGCCGGUUCGCCGGAAGCUGCCACACCAGCGCGAGCUCCGGUACAAGCCUGGCAGAGUACAGCGGCGAGGGUGCCUCCGCCGUAGGAUACGAAGACGGCGGCCCUCCCUUCGUGAACCUGUCCUCGUCCAAUAUCCAACGAACCGAGCCGAUCUUACUCAAGGAUGAGUUCGCGCCAUCCCUUCUCCUCGCCACCGUGCCGGCCCAGAGGAAGGGAAACGGCGCAGAGGGCCACUUGGAAUCAACCCCUGCUUACCCAGCCGCCAUGAAAGCUCUGUACGGGGCCUGCCUCGCCGGGAACGCGACGGAGCACCUCUGGAAUUUCACCUGGCCUGCCGCAGUCGCCACGCUGCAUCAGAGCCUCCUCCCGGUCGCGGUUCUUGGGUUCUUCACGAAGCUCCUGGUGUUCGUCGCAGGUCCAUUGGUGGGGAACCUCGUGAGCUCGCUCCCUCUGAUUCCCACGUACCGCUCUCUGACUGUAAUUCAGACCGCAGCACAUUUGGUGUCGGCGGCAAUGAUCACGUAUGCCGUCAGCUUCCCAAGGGCAUCCACCGCGCCGGCGCUUCUCUUGCGGCCAUGGUUCGCCGUGCUAGUGGCGUCCACAGCCGUCGACAGUCUCUCCCGUGUGUCGCUCGGCAUCAUCGCCGAGCGUGAUUUCGUUGUGCAGCUCGCAGGGGAAGGCAGGCGGAUCGCGCUCGCGCAGGCGAAUGCUACGCUCAGCAGAGUCGAUCUGAUCUGCGAGACGGCGGGCGCGUCAGUCUUUGCAUUCCUGCUCUCUAAGAACGACCCGCUGACCUGCAUCAAGCUCUCCUGCCUCAUAUCGCUCUCUGCUCUACCUCUUCAUAUUUUUCUGGGAGGCGCGAUGAACCGACUCGCCGACAGCGUCUUCGAUCACCCUGAACAUAGAAGCCUGCCUGCUGCUUCUACUUUCGACGUCCGGAGGAUAGUGGUCGAUGCUGUGGCCACCAUCAGACGCGGGUGGAGCGAGUACAUCAGCCAGCCGGUCCUCCCGGCGAGCCUCGCCUACGUGCUCGUCUGCUUCAACGUCGCCCUCGCCCCCGGCGCUCUUAUGACCACGUUCCUGAUCCAUCACGGCGUGAGCCCGUUGGUCCUCGGCGUGUUCGGGGGCUCGUCGGCGCUGACGGGGAUCCUCGCGACAUUCAUGACGCCGAGCCUUGUCAAGGAGCUCGGCAUCCUCAAGGCCGGAGCGGCCGGGUUGCUCGCCCAGAGCGCGCUCCUGGGAGCGGCAGUCGUCAUCUACAUGACCGGGUCCAUCUCACGUGGAGGCGCCCUCUUCGCCUUCCUCGGCCUGAUCGUGGUGUCUAGGCUGGGGCACAUGGCGUACAGCGUGAUCGGGCUGCAGGUGGUGCAGACCGGGAGCCCCAUGGGGAAGGCCAAGCUGAUCGGCGCGACGGAGAUCGCCGUCGCCAGCCUCGCGGAGCUCGGGAUGAUGGCGGUGGCGGUGGCCGCCAAGGACGUCUCUCGUUUUGGUGCUGUCGCCGUGCUCUCGGCGGCCGCUGUCGCCGCGGCCGCCUGGCUCUACUGUGCCUGGCUGGCAAACCCCACCCAGCAGCUGAAAACGCUCUUUCCGUCGUGA